CCGAUAUCAGAUUAGGUAGUUGGUGAGGUAAAGACUCACCAAGCCGACGAUCUGUAGCUGGUCUGAGAGGACGACCAGCCACACUGGGACUGAGACACGGCCCCAGACUCCUACGGGAGGCAGCAGUGGGGAAUUUUGGACAAUGGGCGCAAGCCUGAUCCAGCCAAUGCCGGCGUGCAGGAUGAAGGCCUUCGGGUUGUAAACUGCUUUUGUACGGAACGAAACGGUGAGUCUCUAAUACAGUUUGCUAAUGACGGUACCGUAAGAAUAAGCACCGGCUAACUACGUG
rnacentral:rRNA from 1 species